CCUACGGGUGGCAGCAGUGGGGAAUAUUGCACAAUGGGGGAAACCCUGAUGCAGCGACGCCGCGUGAGUGAAGAAGUAAUUCGUUAUGUAAAGCUCUAUCAGCAGGGAAGAAAGAAAUGACGGUACCUGACUAAGAAGCCCCGGCUAACUACGUACCAGCAGCCGCGGUAAUACGUAGGGGGCAAGCGUUAUCCGGAUGUACUGGGUGUAAAGGGAGCGUAGACGGUUACGGAAGACUGGAGUGAAAGGCGGGGGCCCAACCCCCGGACUGCUUUGGAAACUGUAUAACUGGAGUGCAGGAGAGGUAAGUGGAAUUCCUAGUGUAGCGGUGAAAUGCGUAGAUAUUAGGAGGAACACCAGUGGCGAAGGCGGCUUACUGGACUGUAACUGACGUUGAGGCUCGAAAGCGUGGGGAGCAAACAGGAUUAGAUACCCGAGUAGUC
rnacentral:rRNA from 1 species